rnacentral:ncRNA from 10 species
CACGUUCAUCCUUAACAGGACGGAAGUAGGCUUAUGCUGAAGGAACGCAUU